rnacentral:rRNA from 1 species
AGGGGGUUUGAUCCUGGGCUCAGAUUGAACGCUGGCGGCAGGCUUAACACAUGCAAGUCGAGCGGGGAAGAGUAGCUUGCUACUUGACCUAGCGGCGGACGGGUGAGUAAUGCUUAGGAAUCUGCCUAUUAGUGGGGGACAACAUCUCGAAAGGGAUGCUAAUACCGCAUACGUCCUACGGGAGAAAGCAGGGGACCUUCGGGCCUUGCGCUAAUAGAUGAGCCUAAGUCGGAUUAGCUAGUUGGUGGGGUAAAGGCCUACCAAGGCGACGAUCUGUAGCGGGUCUGAGAGGAUGAUCCGCCACACUGGGACUGAGACACGGCCCAGACUCCUACGGGAGGCAGCAGUGGGGAAUAUUGGACAAUGGGGGGAACCCUGAUCCAGCCAUGCCGCGUGUGUGAAGAAGGCCUUUUGGUUGUAAAGCACUUUAAGCGAGGAGGAGGCUACCGAGAUUAAUACUCUUGGAUAGUGGACGUUACUCGCAGAAUAAGCACCGGCUAACUCUGUGCCAGCAGCCGCGGUAAUACAGAGGGUGCAAGCGUUAAUCGGAUUUACUGGGCGUAAAGCGCGCGUAGGUGGCCAAUUAAGUCAAAUGUGAAAUCCCCGAGCUUAACUUGGGAAUUGCAUUCGUUACUGGUUGGCUAGAGUAUGGGAGAAGGAUGGUAGAAUUCCAGGUGUAGCGGUGAAAUGCGUAGAGAUCUGGAGGAAUACCGAUGGCGAAGGCAGCCAUCUGGCCUAAUACUGACACUGAGGUGCGAAAGCAUGGGGAGC